GGAUUAGAUACCCUGGUAGUCCACGCCGUAAACGAUGGGCACUAGGUGCCGGGUCUAGAGACGGAUUCGGUGCCGCAGCUAACGCAUUAAGUGCCCCGCCUGGGGAGUACGGCCGCAAGGCUGAAACUCAAAGGAAUUGACGGGGGCCCGCACAAGCGGUGGAGCAUGUGGUUUAAUUCGAAGCAACGCGAAGAACCUUACCUGGGCUUGACAUCGUAGUGACGCCUUCUGGAAACAGAAGGGUUCCUUCGGGACACUAUGACAGGUGCUGCAUGGCUGUCGUCAGCUCGUGCCG
rnacentral:rRNA from 1 species